rfam:Trichoplax adhaerens TRIADscaffold_5 genomic scaffold, whole genome shotgun sequence.
ACAACGGCUUUUUUAAAAGCCACAAAUCAAAGAAAAAGGAAAAUUUU